GUGCUCGCUUCGGCAGCACAUAUACUAAAAUUGGAACCAUACAGAGAAGAUUAGUAUGGCCCCUGCACAAAGAUGACACUCAAGUUUGUGAAGUGGUCCAUAUUUAA
ensembl:snRNA U6 U6 spliceosomal RNA